rnacentral:rRNA from 1 species
AUUGAACGCUGGCGGCAGGCCUAACACAUGCAAGUCGAGCGAGCGGCGGACGGGUGAGUAAUGUAUGGGGCCUGCCCGAGGGAGGGGGAUAACUACUGGAAACGGUGGCUAAUACCGCAUACUAUCGGAUAACCCAUAUGGGAUUAGCUAGUAGGUGGGGUAAAGGCUCACCUAGGCGACGAUCUCUAGCUGGUCUGAGAGGAUGAUCAGCCGCACUGGGACGUGGCCAGGGCCCGGGCGCCUUCGGAGGCAGCAGAGGGGAAUAUUGGUCAAUGGGGGCUAGCAGUCUGCAGCCAUGCCGCGGGUAUGGUGGCGGCGUUGGGGGUGGAAAGUACGUUCACGGGGGAGGCGUUACCCGCAGAAGAAGCACCGGCUAACUCCGUGCCAGCAGCCGCGGUAAUUC